rnacentral:rRNA from 1 species
GAUGAACGCUGGCGGCGUGCCUAAUACAUGCAAGUAGAACGCUGAAGGAGGAGCUUGCUCUUCUGGAUGAGUUGCGAACGGGUGAGUAACGCGUAGGUAACCUGCCUGGUAGCGGGGGAUAACUAUUGGAAACGAUAGCUAAUACCGCAUGACAACAGUUAUUACAUGAUAACUGUUUAAAAGGGGCAACUGCUCCACUACCAGAUGGACCUGCGUUGUAUUAGCUAGUUGGUGAGGUAACGGCUCACCAAGGCGACGAUACAUAGCCGACCUGAGAGGGUGAUCGGCCACACUGGGACUGAGACACGGCCCAGACUCCUACGGGAGGCAGCAGUAGGGAAUCUUCGGCAAUAGACGGAAGUCUGACCGAGCAACGCCGCGUGAGUGAAGAAGGUUUUCGGAUCGUAAAGCUCUGUUGUAAGAGAAGAACGAGUGUGAGAGUGGAAAGUUCACACUGUGACGGUAUCUUACCAGAAAGGGACGGCUAACUACGUG